GCCAGAGAGGGAGAGAGAGAACGUGAGAGAGGGAGAGAGAAAGCGAGACAUACAGUAAGAGUGGUAUGAAAUUGAACAUGAAUAUGCGAGAGUGCGAGAAAGAGAGAACGUGAGAGAGAGAGAGAAAGCGACACAGAAAGAGAUUUAUAUGAGGAAUCACAGGAAGUUGAGAUCAUAUUCCUUUGCACUCGCAAGAGAGGUAUGAAAUUGAACAUGAAUAAAAGAGAAUGAUGCAUACUGUUUAGUGUUGGAUAUGCAUGCGAGAGAGGGUGAGUGACAGAAUCAAUUUCCAAUCUUCUUCAUAAAUUACUAUAACUCAUGAUAAUGUGAGUUUGUUGAAUUUCAGCUCAUAAUAUGCGAUUUUCUUCAACUUCAACUCAUUAUAAUGUGAUUUUCUUGAACUUCAACCGAUAAUUAUGUGAUUUUCUUGAACUUCAACUCAUAAAUGUGAUUUUCUUGAACUUCAGCGGAUAGUUAUGUGAUUUUCUUGUACUUCAGCUCAUAGUGUUGCGAUUUUCUUGAACUUCAGCUGAUAAUGAUGUGGUUUUCUUGAACUUAAGCUGAUAAUGAUGUGAUUUUGUACGCAUGAAAUUGAGUCAUACUGUUUCGUGUCGGAUAUGCAUGCGAGAGAGGGUGAGAGAAUCAAUUUCCAACCCCUUCUAUCUCUCUUUUCUAUCUCAAUUUCCAAUCUUAUUCAUGAAUUACUACUUAUCUCAAUUUCCAAUCUUCAUGAAUUACUACACUUAUUGAGCCAACUUCUUAGUAUCUCAGUGAUGUGAUUUUCUUGAAUUUCACCUCAUAAUAUUGCCAUUUUCUUGAACUUCAACUCAUAAUAAUGUGAUUUUCUUGAACUUCAACUCCUAAUUAUGUGAUUUUCUUGAACUUCAGCGGAUAAUGAUGUCAUUUUCUUGAACUUCAGCUGAUAAUGAUGUGGUUUUCUUGAAUCUGAACUGAUAGUCAUGUGAUUUUCUUGAACUUAAGCUAUGUUAUUUUCAUGAACCUCAACUGAUAAUGAUGUGUGUUUCUUGAACUUCAGCGGAUAAUGAUGUCAUUUAUUUAUGACUUUCUUGAACUCCUAAAUGAUAUUGUAACAUGAAUUCUUUAUUCACAAUGGAUAGAUGGUUGGAUCGAAAUUAUAUACUUGUAGUAUGAAUUCUUUAUUCAUAAUUUGUAAAUGGAUGAUAUGCUUUUAUGAUCUCUCAUUCAAAUGCAUUUGAUCUUGAUGAAUCUGAAUUUUAGUGGCUGUUUUGGAUUGUGAGGAUGAGGUAUUGCAUGCAAGAUGAAUGAUUGUGAGGAUGAAUCUUGAUGCUAUGUUUGACCCUAGUUGCUUAUAAUUUUGAAUUCAGAUGGACCCUAAUUUUAAAAAUUACCCGAAAUGCAAUUACAAUUUAAAUCCUCAAUUCAUAGUGUUAAAUCCUUAACAUCUGAGGUUUGUGUGAUAACAUCUUUAGUGCCUGAGCCCGUGCAAGGAUCCACUGAAACAUUAAUUAGCGUUGACUCUGAAUCAAUGGCUAUGAACAACCUUUGUCCUUACUGUUCAGGUCUGCUUUUUUUUCAGUUUGACAAGUGUCAUUUGGUCAUUUUAAUUGUGUUUCAAAUUAUGCAGGCUUAUGUUGAUUUGUUUGCACUUGCAAGAGAGAUAUGAAAUUGAACAUGAAUAAAUGAGAAUGAUGCAUACUGUUUUGGAUAUGCAUGCCACACUCAAACUCCUCAAUCAGGGACUCCACAACCUGUCAUGGCAAUUUCCAACCCUUUCUAUCUCAAUUUCCAAUCUUCUUCAUAAAUUACUAUUACUCGUGAUAAUGUGAUUUUGUUGAAUUUCAGCUCAUAUCCUCCCCUCUUACAAUGGAAUCAUAUAGAGAUGGUAUUUUUUCAAAAGAAUUCUCCUUAACGGUUUUUGUAUCUUCUCUAAUGUUAAUUUUUUCAAUUCAUUGUCAGCAGUCAUAUAUGUCCCAAGCUAUGACUCAGUGAGCUGCAAGUUCAGUUCAAAAUGAG
rnacentral:lncRNA from 1 species